rnacentral:rRNA from 1 species
AGAGUUUGAUCCUGGCUCAGGAUGAACGCUGGCGGCGUGCUUAACACAUGCAAGUCGAACGGGAAAUAUUUCAUUGAGACUUCGGUGGAUUUGAUCUAUUUCUAGUGGCGGACGGGUGAGUAACGCGUGGGUAACCUGCCUUAUACAGGGGGAUAACAGUCAGAAAUGGCUGCUAAUACCGCAUAAGCGCACAGAGCUGCAUGGCUCAGUGUGAAAAACUCCGGUGGUAUAAGAUGGACCCGCGUUGGAUUAGCUAGUUGGUGAGGUAACGGCCCACCAAGGCGACGAUCCAUAGCCGGCCUGAGAGGGUGAACGGCCACAUUGGGACUGAGACACGGCCCAGACUCCUACGGGAGGCAGCAGUGGGGAAUAUUGCACAAUGGGGGAAACCCUGAUGCAGCGACGCCGCGUGGAGGAAGAAGGUCUUCGGAUUGUAAACUCCUGUUGUUGAGGAAGAUAAUGACGGUACUCAACAAGGAAGUGACGGCUAACUACGUGCCAGCAGCCGCGGUAAAACGUAGGUCACAAGCGUUGUCCGGAAUUACUGGGUGUAAAGGGAGCGCAGGCGGGAGAACAAGUUGGAAGUGAAAUCCAUGGGCUCAACCCAUGAACUGCUUUCAAAACUGUUUUUCUUGAGUAGUGCAGAGGUAGGCGGAAUUCCCGGUGUAGCGGUGGAAUGCGUAGAUAUCGGGAGGAACACCAGUGGCGAAGGCGGCCUACUGGGCACCAACUGACGCUGAGGCUCGAAAGUGUGGGUAGCAAACAGGAUUAGAUACCCUGGUAGUCCACACCGUAAACGAUGAUUACUAGGUGUUGGAGGAUUGACCCCUUCAGUGCCGCAGUUAACACAAUAAGUAAUCCACCUGGGGAGUACGACCGCAAGGUUGAAACUCAAAGGAAUUGACGGGGGCCCGCACAAGCAGUGGAGUAUGUGGUUUAAUUCGAAGCAACGCGAAGAACCUUACCAGGUCUUGACAUCCGAUGCAUAGUGCAGAGAUGCAUGAAGUCCUUCGGGACAUCGAGACAGGUGGUGCA